rnacentral:rRNA from 1 species
UACAGAGGGUGCGAGCGUUAAUCGGAAUUACUGGGCGUAAAGCGUGCGCAGGCGGUUUGUUAAGACAGGUGUGAAAUCCCCGGGCUUAACCUGGGAACUGCGCUUGUUACUGGCAAGCUGGAGUGUGGCAGAGGGGGGUGGAAUUCCACGUGUAGCAGUGAAAUGCGUAGAGAUGUGGAGGAACACCGAUGGCGAAGGCAGCCCCCUGGGCUAACACUGACGCUCAUGCACGAAAGCGUGGGGAGCAAACAGG